GGCUUGGCAGGUAAUCUACAGCACAGAGAAGUUUACAUUUCGAAAAGAUAAACCUUUGCAUGCUUGGAAAUUGUCCCUAAUUGUUCAUAAUUUCUAAGUACUCAAAAAUGACAAAGUAAACAUUGUUUUUCGGUUUCAUUGUUCAAAUAAAACGUUAAAUUUUACUUGAUACUAGUCUGCAAUUUAUCGGAUACCGGUAUCCGGAUCCAGCACAUGCCAAUAAUUCUGUUGAGAAGCACUGGUCACCGUACUAACAACCCUCUCACGAAAAUAUCUUCCUUUA